AUGCAUGGUGAGAACAUAUACUCAACAACUCCUUUAACCUCUCCCAAGCCUGAUACAAAAUCUCACCAUCCUUUAGUGCAAAGGUGGAGAUCUGCAUUUUCAAAGCAU